AAAAAAAUAUAAUAAUAUUUUAUUAUAAUUUAGUUUCUCUUCAAUUAUAAACACACAUAUACACAUACUCUCUCAAUCAUUAAUCUAAAGUUUUUCUGCAGAGAAACUAUUUUCAAUCUCUCUCCUACUUUAUUAUUAUUUUAUAUUUUUUAGUUAAUGAGAAACUAUGUAAGAGACUACUGAUGGAGAUGCUCUUAAACGUCGUGCGUUUUUGUUUUUUUACAUUGUCCAUUGCAUGUCGUUUAAAUAGUCGAUUAAGGUUUGUAAAUCAGACCGAUCCACAUUCAGU
rnacentral:sRNA from 1 species